rnacentral:rRNA from 1 species
ACGGCUCAUUAACACGUGGUUAACAUACCCUCAGGUGGGGGAUAACCUUGGGAAACUGAGGAUAAUACCCCAUAGAAAAAGCAGUCUGGAACGAUUCUUUUUCGAAAGCAUAUGCGCCUGAGGAUUGGACUGCGCUCGAUUAGGUAGUUGGUGGGGUAAUGGCCCACCAAGCCUACGAUCGGUACGGGCCUUGAGAGAGGAAGCCCGGAGAUGGGGACUGAGACACGGCCCCAGGCCCUACGGGGCGCAGCAGGCGCGAAACCUCCGCAAUGCACGAAAGUGCGACGGGGGGAUCCCAAGUGCUCAUGCACAGCAUGGGCUUUUAUCAAGUGUAAACAGCUUGAGGAAUAAGGGCUGGGCAAGUUCGGUGCCAGCAGCCGCGGUAACACCGACGGCCCGAGUGGUGGCCACUUUUAUUGGGCCUAAAGCGUCCGUAGCCGGUCCAGUAAGUCCUUGUUUAAAUCCUGCGGCUUAACCGCAGGACUGGCAGGGAUACUGCUGGACUUGGGACCGGGAGAGGACAAGGGUACUUCAGGGGUAGCGGUGAAAUGUGUUGAUCCUUGAAGGACCACCUAUGGCGAAGGCACUUGUCUGGAACGG